rnacentral:miRNA from 1 species
AGAGAUGAGCGGUUGUGCUUCA